GAAUUAGCUCAGUUGGUUAGAGCGCUGGAUUGUGGCUCCAGAGGUCGCGGGUUCAAAUCCCGUAUU
rnacentral:tRNA from 2 species